rnacentral:rRNA from 1 species
AUGCGCAGCUACCAUGCAGUCGAGCGGUAACAGAAAGUAGCUUGCUACUUUGCUGACGAGCGGCGGACGGGUGAGUAAUGCUUGGGAACAUGCCUUGAGGUGGGGGACAACAGUUGGAAACGACUGCUAAUACCGCAUAAUGUCUACGGACCAAAGGGGGCUUCGGCUCUCGCCUUUAGAUUGGCCCAAGUGGGAUUAGCUAGUUGGUGAGGUAAUGGCUCACCAAGGCGACGAUCCCUAGCUGGUUUGAGAGGAUGAUCAGCCACACUGGGACUGAGACACGGCCCAGACUCCUACGGGAGGCAGCAGUGGGGAAUAUUGCACAAUGGGCGCAAGCCUGAUGCAGCCAUGCCGCGUGUGUGAAGAAGGCCUUCGGGUUGUAAAGCACUUUCAGUCAGGAGGAAAGGUUAGUAGUUAAUACCUGCUAGCUGUGACGUUACUGACAGAAGAAGCACCGGCUAACUCCGUGCCAGCAGCCGCGGUAAUACGGAGGGUGCGAGCGUUAAUCGGAAUUACUGGGCGUAAAGCGUACGCAGGCGGUUUGUUAAGCGAGAUGUGAAAGCCCCGGGCUCAACCUGGGAACUGCAUUUCGAACUGGCAAACUAGAGUGUGAUAGAGGGUGGUAGAAUUUCAGGUGUAGCGGUGAAAUGCGUAGAGAUCUGAAGGAAUACCGAUGGCGAAGGCAGCCACCUGGGUCAACACUGACGCUCAUGUACGAAAGCGUGGGGAGCAAACAGGAUUAGAUACCCUGGUAGUCCACGCCGUACACGAUGUCUACUAGAAGCUCGGAACCUCGGUUCUGUUUUUCAAAGCUAACGCAUUAAGUAGACCGCCUGGGGAGUACGGCCGCAAGGUUAAAACUCAAAUGAAUUGACGGGGGCCCGCACAAGCGGUGGAACAUGUGGUUUAAUUCGAUGCACCGCGAAGAACCUUACCUACCCUUGACUUACAGAGAACUUACCAGAGAUUGUUUGGUGCCUUCGGGAACUCUGAUACAGGUGCUGCAGGG